CCCUAUACAUGCAGUCGAGCGGACAGAAGGGAGCUUGCUCCCGGAUGUUAGCGGCGGACGGGUGAGUAACACGUGGGUAACCUGCCUGUAAGACUGGGAUAACUCCGGGAAACCGGAGCUAAUACCGGAUAGUUCCUUGAACCGCAUGGUUCAAGGAUGAAAGACGGUUUCGGCUGUCACUUACAGAUGGACCCGCGGCGCAUUAGCUAGUUGGUGAGGUAACGGCUCACCAAGGCGACGAUGCGUAGCCGACCUGAGAGGGUGAUCGGCCACACUGGGACUGAGACACGGCCCAGACUCCUACGGGAGGCAGCAGUAGGGAAUCUUCCGCAAUGGACGAAAGUCUGACGGAGCAACGCCGCGUGAGUGAUGAAGGUUUUCGGAUCGUAAAGCUCUGUUGUUAGGGAAGAACAAGUGCAAGAGUAACUGCUUGCACCUUGACGGUACCUAACCAGAAAGCCACGGCUAACUACGUGCCAGCAGCCGCGGUAAUACGUAGGUGGCAAGCGUUGUCCGGAAUUAUUGGGCGUAAAGGGCUCGCAGGCGGUUUCUUAAGUCUGAUGUGAAAGCCCCCGGCUCAACCGGGGAGGGUCAUUGGAAACUGGGAAACUUGAGUGCAGAAGAGGAGAGUGGAAUUCCACGUGUAGCGGUGAAAUGCGUAGAGAUGUGGAGGAACACCAGUGGCGAAGGCGACUCUCUGGUCUGUAACUGACGCUGAGGAGCGAAAGCGUGGGGAGCGAACAGGAUUAGAUACCU
rnacentral:rRNA from 1 species